UGGGGGAUAUUGCACAAUGGGCGAAAGCCUGAUGCAGCGACGCCGCGUGGGGGAUGAAGGCUUUCGGGUUGUAAACCUCUUUCGCUAUCGAACAAGGCCCGCUUAGGGUGGGUUGAGGGUAGGUGGAGAAGAAGCGCCGGCUAACUACGUGCCAGCAGCCGCAGUAAUACGUAGGGCGCGAGCGUUGUCCGGAAUUAUUGGGCGUAAAGGGCUUGUAGGCGGCUUGUUGCGCCUGCUGUGAAAACGCGGGGCUUAACUUCGCGCGUGCAGUGGGUACGGGCAGGCUUGAGUGUGGUAGGGGUGACUGGAAUUCCAGGUGUAGCGGUGGAAUGCGCAGAUAUCUGGAGGAACACCGAUGGCGAAGGCAGGGCACUGGGCCAUUACUGACGCUGAGGAGCGAAAGCAUGGGUAGCGAACAGG
rnacentral:rRNA from 1 species